AGUGGGGGAUAACGUAGCGAAAGUUACGCUAAUACCGCAUAUGCCCUGAGGGGGAAAGGUGGGGAUCGCAAGACCUAUCGUUUUCGGAGUGGCCGAUAUCAGAUUAGCUAGUUGGUGGGGUAAAGGCCCACCAAGGCGACGAUCUGUAGCGGGUCUGAGAGGAUGAUCCGCCACACUGGGACUGAGACACGGCCCAGACUCCUACGGGAGGCAGCAGUGGGGAAUUUUGGACAAUGGGGGCAACCCUGAUCCAGCCAUGCCGCGUGAGUGAAGAAGGCCUUCGGGUUGUAAAGCUCUUUCAGCCGGAAAGAAAUCGCGCAGGCUAAUAUCCUGUGUGGAUGACGGUACCGGAAGAAGAAGCACCGGCUAACUACGUGCCAGCAGCCGCGGUAAUACGUAGGGUGCGAGCGUUAAUCGGAAUUACUGGGCGUAAAGCGUGCGCAGGCGGUUUUGUAAGACAGGCGUGAAGUCCCCGGGCUUAACCUGGGAACUGCGUUUGUGACUGCAAGGCUAGAGUGUGGCAGAGGGGGGUAGAAUUCCG
rnacentral:rRNA from 1 species